GAUGAACGCUAGCGGCAGGCUUAACACAUGCAAGUCGAGGGGUAACAUUAGUGCUUGCACUAGAUGACGACCGGCGCACGGGUGCGUAACGCGUAUAGAAUCUACCUUUUACAGAGGGAUAGCCUUUAGAAAUGAAGAUUAAUACCUCAUAACAUUAAGAAUUGGCAUCAAUUUUUAAUUAAAGAUUUAUCGGUAAAAGAUGACUAUGCGUCCUAUUAGCUAGAUGGUAAGGUAACGGCUUACCAUGGCAACGAUAGGUAGGGGCCCUGAGAGGGGGAUCCCCCACACUGGUACUGAGACACGGACCAGACUCCUACGGGAGGCAGCAGUGAGGAAUAUUGGGCAAUGGAGGCAACUCUGACCCAGCCAUGCCGCGUGCAGGAAGACUGCCCUAUGGGUUGUAAACUGCUUUUAUACAGGAAGAAACACUGCUACGUGUAGCAGCUUGACGGUACUGUAAGAAUAAGCACCGGCUAACUCCG
rnacentral:rRNA from 1 species